CGGAAUUACUGGGCGUAAAGCGUGCGUAGGCGGCUUUGCCAGACAGAUGUGAAAUCCCCGGGCUCAACCUGGGAACCGCAUUUGUGACUGCAUGGCUAGAGUACGGUAGAGGGGGAUGGAAUUCCGCGUGUAGCAGUGAAAUGCGUAGAUAUGCGGAGGAACACCGAUGGCGAAGGCAAUCCCCUGGACCUGUACUGACGCUCAUGCACGAAAGCGUGGGGAGCAAACAGG
rnacentral:rRNA from 1 species